AAGCUAUGCUUGGGCUGUGGUAUCUCGUCCUGUACCGUCUGGUACAGGAAAAGAGAAGGGGAACCAGGUGCGAAUCCUGGGCUGUGCCGCAACGGUAAUUGGUUAGGGUAAAGGGCGAAGCGUUAAGGGUAAAGAAAAUAAAACUUACCCCUUUCCGCUUUACGCUUACCCCUGUCAUAAGUCCGGAGACCGACCACGCUUAGUGGCUAGUC
rfam:Candidatus Daviesbacteria bacterium RIFCSPHIGHO2_01_FTLL_41_23 rifcsphigho2_01_scaffold_95, whole genome shotgun sequence.